GCGCAUCCGCCGUGAUUCAAACGCGAUGGCGGCUGAGGCGGCUCAGGGCUGAGGGCGAGCGACCCCCGCCCGGCCCCUCGCCCGCCCGCCGCUGCCUUGACACGAUGUCCUCCGAGGGCAGCGACACGCUGGCAGGCGAAGGAGCGCCUAAAACUAAGCGGAAAGGAGGGAGAAUCGUGCAGUCUCGCUACCUGCAGUUCGGUAAGAAAGACAGCAAGAAGGCGCCAGGACUGCCGAGCUCAGGCGUCGCUCAGCGAAAGGCAGAAAAGGAUGCUUCAUCAAGUUCCUCUUCAUCAAAUGCUUCUCUGCAGUCUUCUAGAACUGAAGCAAGAUCGGUUGUUUCUCAGAAACACAAAACUUCUGCUGGUGUUGACCAUAGCUCAUUAAAUCAAAGUGGUUUUGAGAAGGGUUACUUGCAGUCCACUUUAUUAGAUGAAGGAAAAACGAAGCUACCCGACCUUGAUAUUUCUGCUAUUAAUGGUAAAAGUGACCCCAAGAAGAGUUCUCAUUCAGAAUCUGCUUCAGAAGGAGAUUCAGAGACACAGAAAAUAACCGAAGGGACUGAUGAGGAAACUGAUUUUUGGGAUCCGAUAGAAGAGCUGGAAUCUGAGACACUGCUUUUAACUUACCUAAGGAUAAGGGCAGAAAAAAAAGUUGCUGAAAUGGAGGAAAAAGCAGAAAAAAACUUGCUAAUGUUGUGUGAAGAAAAGCAGAGACAACAGGAGAAGCUCUGGGAGCUGAAACGUGAAAUUCUGCUCGAGGAGAGAGAGCAGAAGCUCAAUGAAACAUUAGACAAACAGAUAGAAGUGCUGUCUCCCCUUGUUGCUGUCUGUGAACGGUUUAAAGAGCAAUAUAAAAGCUUUGCAGCUUCCCUGGAUGCUACGAGACAUGAAUUACCCAUAAAGAACAUUCACAUAGAAGGAGAUAAGCAAACCUACCUUGAUGAACUGGGAAAGCAAUUAACGAUCACACAGGAGCUUCUGACAGAAGUAAUGCCAAACCACUCAGAAGAUAGUGCAAAAGCACUUAGUGCGCUGCAAGAGCUUAAAGAAGUGUCUCAGCAAAUGAAUAAAGGGCUUCAAAGGAGCUUCACAGAUGUGCAGAAUCUGUCGUUUGAAGCCUGUAAAGAAGUUUCUCUGCAUAACCAAUACGUGUGUGAAGAGAAUCAUGGAGUAGAUGUUGUGAAACGCUGGUAUUUCGACUAAGUUUCUGUAUUGUUUUACUACUGCAUAGCUACUAACUCAAUGCCAGCAGACUUUUUAUCCUUUUACUUCUUGUGUGGACACACAACUUGCCCAGAUUUUCAGUGAAGCCAGCAGCAGGGGUGCUCACUGAUACAGAAAUUGCAGGAUUGUUCUGCAGGCUGUCCCACAGGGGAGACAUCACCGCUCUCUUUUAACGUGGAUUUCUCUGACAGAUUUUCCAUCACUUUCUGCCUUGACAGUACUGAAAGAUGAUCUGCACCUGGUAGUUCACCUGUGUGGCUGCAAUUCAGCACAUCAAUAGGUGCCGGAUCGAGCUCUGGGGCCAGGAGCAUGAGCUGCAUCCAUGAAUUUGGCCACUGGAUGGGGAACUUUGCCCAGCAAAGUCAGCCUGGCUGUGAAUGUGUGGGCUGGUUAGUUUCGGUGGAUGGAGAUGGGGGUAGAAAGGCUCCAAUAUGAUGAAACUGGUGUUGUUGGGUUUGGAUUAUUGCUGGGCUCUGUGUCUUCACACCUUUAACCUCUUUAUGAUCAGUGUGUCAAUUCUGAGACUGAAAGUUGUUGGGAAGGGUCAUCUUAAAUAUGAGAGGGGAGGGAUGAAAUUGAAAUCAAUAUUAUAAUUGAUAAUAAUAUCUCUCUCUGCACAGGCAUAUCAGAAUGCCUUUCCUAGGAUUUCUUAAUGGUGCACAUCACUGAUGGUCUGAAAAAGUAUUUUUCUUUCAAGAAAUACUUUUAAAUUAAACCCUUUCUUUUCAGUCAAGUGACUUUUUACCUUUGAGAUACUAUUGGAUGUGUAUACCUACACCCAAACGUUACUUAAGCAACAGCCAGCAAUGCAGAUUUUCCCUCUUAAAAGCAGUGGAAUGCUGCUGGUUCUCCCCCUGGGGAGGUGCUUGCUGUGAGCACAAUUAAAGGCUGUAAAUCUUUCGGGGGCAGUACAGCCCUGCUGCUGCAGGCGGCACUCGCUGCACUCGUUAUCCUCCCACAAGGCAAAGGGGAGUCCUGGGGCUGAAGCCAAACUGCUGCUACAGAACAAUUCUGUGCCCGGGGAUGUGCACUCAUUGUUUCAGAAGAAUCAGAGGCAUUAAUUUCAGCAUUCUGGCCAUUCUUUUCUUUAAACUGAACACUUGUGUAAUUCUCUGUAUAAAUGGUACAACAAGUGUUAGUUAAAGCAGCUUGGCCUCUCUAGGAAAGGGUUUUUAGUUUGAACUGAGGCACUUCCUUCUUGAUUUUCAUGAAUGUUCUUUCUAAGUGGUCCGGUUUUGGCUCUUUGCAGAAGUGUUUUAGGCUCCUCCACCUUGAAAUAGCCACAGAAUUUGCUGCUGUCAUUUAACACUGUACAAACAACAACAACAAAGAGCUGCAGAAUCACUGGAGCAGGAACUAAACAGAUGUGACACCACUUAUUUUGUAUUUUCCACUUAUUUUCUAACAGUGUCACGUGCUCUAAAUCGGUUGGAAUCCUAAACAAAUCAAGGGCUCUUUUUAUUCAGGUUAUGUGUCUUUUUCCCCCUGUAGAACUAAUAAUGCUCUCCCUGCUGUAACUUGUAUCAAUGUAGAUUUAGUUGUGUUUUGUCUGCACGUGUGCAGAACUUAUAACCUAUUUAUUCAUUUUUUAGGCCAGAAGUUCUUGACCAAUUGUUAACAUUCGUGUGUGUUAAGGUGCUUUUUUGGGGGAAGGGAUUUUUUUUUUUUCCUCUGAGAAUUGAAAGCAAUUCUGAAGUGAGCCAGGUGGGUGAGAGCCUGGGAGGAAGGGGGAGCCCAGAAAUGAAGUAUUUGUCCCCUGCAAAAUUCUUGAUUGUUUAAAAAGAGAUUGGCAAAGCUUUUAAGCUGGGUUUGCCCUGCAGCUUGCCCUGCCUGGUGCUGGUGUGUCUGGGGAAGCUGCGACCACAUUCUCCUCAGUGCCUCUGCUGCUGCCAGACCCUGACCACCAGCUCAGGAGGGCUGAGUCAAGGCAUUUUUUGCUGUAAUUCCUGUGCUCCCUGCGAUGGGGGCUCUCCGGGGUCAAGGUAAGGCAGGAUCCCUCCUGCCCGGGGUGCCCUGGGGUGGGGCUGCAGCCCUGGAAAUCACCGAGGCUCGUUUGUCCCCUCACCACACCCCAAACCCCCCAAUUCUUUGUUCGCAAGAGCUGCAAACGGAGCUGAGUCUGUGCUCAUCAACAGCCAGCAAAGCAGCUCAUGACCCCAGCAGAUGUUUCUGCAUUUUAGGCUAAUGAGAACUUAUUGGAUUACUGCAGUCUUCCCUGCCUCGGAGUAAAUACCACUUUGUUGGAGAUCCGGAAAUUCAUACUGAAUAUGAUAAACAAACUGCUGGCUGGGCUGGGAUUGCCAGGACAUGAAAAGAGUUCCAGAGCGGCAGAAGAUCUAACAGCUCUGAAAUGCACCACUGAGCCACACCAAUUAAGAGCAUUUCCAGUGAUUAUGUGAGCAUUCCUGUUCAACUCACAGAAAUUAUUUUAGGUUGUUUCUUCCGCUGCAUUUGUGUGUGGUCUGUAAAGCAAGCACAAGGUUUGCAGAAUGGCCUCUGACCAAAUGCCUCUGACCAGUUUCUUUUAAAAUAAUUCUGUGAUAAUGUAUAUGCAAGAACUGAGUUUCCUGCAAAUUCAAGAUCUUAAAUUUUCUUUGUUAUGGUUGCCCCUUCAGAUGUAACUAAUUUUUAAAAUUAUACAGACAAUGUAUGUUUGGAAAUGGCCUGUAGGAUAUAAAAACUUAAUUCCUUUGUUUAACAUCUCUUGCAUAUGGGAGGUGGGUCUACUGUUCAGUCAGACUAUGCACAAACUAUAUUUCACCAGUCAUGUAGGAGCUGAGAAGAGAACUGGGAAGUUAUUUCUGACUAAAUGUCUGAAUGGCAGCCCCUUCUGAUAAGCACAGCGCUCUUCCUUCUAAAUAAUUCAAAAUCCUUCAUUUGAAUGCUUUCCUAGUACUAUUUCAGUCACUUUUGUCAGGAAUUAAAAUGUUCUCUUACUGUGAAAGAUCAGACUCUCCUGUUCUGUAGAUGAAUAAUAACCAUUUUUGACAGAACUAUUUAAUAAUUAUGUUCUCAAUAUCAUUAUCCUGUUAUAUGCUACUUAGAUUACAGUCUUAUUUGAAAAGUGCUCUUUAAUUAUCCUUUCCUUAUAAUUUUUUCUAGAGAUGUUUGUAUUCCUGGGGGCAGGAUCAGUCUGGUUUCUGCCACUCUGUCUGGACUGAUGUAGUCUCUGUUAAACCAUUUUCCUGGGUGAGUUGCAGGAGUGUAGCAAAGCCUGGGACACUUGUUUUGCAGUUACCAGUUUCUGCUUUUGCUAUCUCUGUUUGGCUGUCACAGAAACACGAAGGGGGAACAAAACUCAGAGUUAAAGAAUAGGUGUGGCUUUUUUACCAUGAAUAUCAUGCUGUAAAAAUUAACUAAGGCCUUGUUCUUGUCUGGUGGUGUGUAAUGAUUGAGGUGAAUGUUUUUCCAUUGGGAAGGGGGGAGAAAUUAUUCUGGAAAUUGAUGACUUUUUUUCACGCACCUUCUACUGAAAUCUAGGGUGUACGGGACUUAACACAAAACUAAAUGAUUAAUAGCCUUGGGUUUAGUACAGUACCUUUUAUGUGCACAAUUUACACAUAUUCGAAUCUUUAAAUAAGUGAGAAUUACCUCUUAUACCUUUGGAUCUGAUCAAUUGAGUGACAAGUUAGUGACACCACUCAUGCUGAGGCAGUUAGCAAGAGCUAAUUCUUGAUGGCAUGGUCCUACCACUUGUUUCCUGUGAGUUGUCCUCCUGAUUUCAGUUUUGCAAUUGAGGUGGGGGGAAAAAGCAAAAAGAUUCCCAGCUGAGAGCAGGAGUACUUGAGAAUUAUUAUUUUUUGUUUGACACAUAGCUGUCUGAUAAUUUUCACAUUGCACACAGCUUAUUUAUGAGGUAGUUGGGACAUGGGGGAGGAUUCCUUCUCCUGCAGAGUAAUGAUGAGGCCAUACAAGCGAUCAGGAUGUCAAUUAGAUCUGGUCAGAACCAAUACAGAUGUAUUCGCACCUUGUUCUCUAAACCCCUGUCCCUCCCUCACCUUUUUGCCACCAGCAUGGCCAACACCAAUCCCCCACAUGCUCUCAAGUGCCUGAGAUUCCUAAGACUUUAUGAGGAGCAGAAUUACGUUUUCUGUAAACAAAAUAAAAAUCCAAACUAUGCACAGUGCAAGCGGGUGGGUGAAUAUGGCCCAUAGAUCUGACUGAUGAAUAGUUUUUAUACAUGAGCAGUUCUUACAGAACUUCCUUUUAACUCCUAACCAUUACCAGAUGUGGGUUGCAGGCGGCUGCUGGAAUUCCAACACCUGUUGCAUCACACUGAAUGGGAUUCAUUUUGGCAAGAACAGAAAAUUCCAUUUCAGUAAGUAAAUAGUUUGAAAUUAUAUCUAAAGCCUCCUUUUUUUUUUUUUUUUUCAGACUGAGUUGAUUCCAGCCUUAUUUACAGGCUUGCACAUACCUUUAUAAUUAGAAGAUGGUUUGCAGUCUUCAGAGGCUCUAAUUGCCUGAGAUUUCUUGUAGUAAAUAUCAAAUGGAAAAUCUUCAAUUUAGGAGAAAUCUCUCCUUUAGAAGAGUGAGCAAUUCAAAAGGGCUAUACUCCACAUAAGGGUGAUUUCUGUCUGUGCUUUAUGAAAUGCAGAAACACACAUUUGUGUGUUAUUCUGAAGAUGAUGGAGCUCCGUUUUAGAGCUACACUUUGCUGCAUUCAUCAAUUCAUUGCUGAAUCCUUUUGCUUCUUCGAAGCCCUCGCCCAGAAUUUUUCAAAGCUUUUUCCUGUGGUUGACAGGAUGGGUGUUUAGUGGCAUUCUGUGAUUUUUUUGGUACAUUCCCCAUAGAUCUCAAGCACGAGUCUGUAAUGAACCCUUUGUGGUUUGCUCUAGAAAGCUAUGGAAUAAGUGUGGAGGUAAUUAAUUAAUAUUUUUGAAAGCAUUAUGCCGUUUCAGCCCAAACAUACCCAAUCUCUGCCAUGCCAUGGGAACAGCAAAGGUGCUUCAUUUUCAUUUUGCCUUCUUUAAUCAAAGGAUCCCAGCAUCCCCUGAAGUGUCACCCUGGGGAGAGGCUGGCAUCAGUAUGGCUGGGGCAGACAGGGGAACACUGAGGCACACACGGUUCUGUGUUUGUAGAUGAGAAUAUAAAGAAGCUGGAAAAUAAUUUGGAGUUACCGGAUUUUUCUUUGCCUGUUUCAGUUUGUCUCAAAAAAAACCCCAAACAAACAAAACCUAAACCAUUCCACUUUAACGUACUUUCAAGUAAGUUCCUUCUCAUAGUUCCUAGCUCAUCAUUUCCUUGGGAAGUGACUGCUGUCGUUCUAGAGUCUAAUCUUGUCUAAUUUGUCAAAAAGUGUUUGUUCUUUUUCUAGAUUUGUUCUGCCUCUCCACAAAAAUAAGACAAUGCUGGUUUGGAGUAGAUUUAAGUAGGAAAAUGUAGCCACAUCUUGCAGUGUUAUCCGUUACUAAGGAUAAUCUGAAUUUAUAAAAAAGCUGCUGAGUUAGUGACUAUGUUUAAGAGAAGACAUAUUAA